rnacentral:rRNA from 1 species
UACGUAGGGGGCGAGCGUUGUCCGGAAUCAUUGGGCGUAAAGCGCGUGUAGGCGGCCCGGUAAGUCCGCUGUGAAGGUCCAGGGCUCAACCCUGGGAUGCCGGUGGAUACUGUCGGGCUCGAGUCCGGAAGAGGCGAGUGGAAUUCCUGGUGUAGCGGUGAAAUGCGUAGAUAUCUGGAGGAACACCGGUGGCGAAGGCGGCAUCCUGGACUAACACUGACGCUGAGGAGCGAAAGCCAGGGGAGCAAACGGG